UCCUGGAAUUUAGGUAAACUCCCAGCAUUGUCUUCUUCUGAAGAAAUCUAAUUAUCAAAUUUCUGACGCUUUAUUUAAUUUUCCAGCUCCAGAAAGAAGACGUGACAAUCGUGCUCUGGGGUCAUUCACUCGGCUCGUACAUCAGCACGAGGGCGCUAUCGCUUAUGUACGGCCAGAAAGAUGGCACUCGACUCACCGACUGUCUUAUACUUGAAGCUCGGUUCACGAAUACAUACGAUGCCGCGGACUGCUUUCCACUGUCUAAGUAUUUCUAUCGGCUCUAUCCUUUCAUGAGGUCUUCACAAGAAUAUCAAACAAUAUGACAUUGAGCUCAGGACUGAGAAGUAUCUGCCGACAAUAAAAGCUCCUGUUAUGAUUUUACAUGCUAAAGAUGAUCAGAGAAUAGACAUUCAUCUAGGCGAGACUUUGUACAAGAAGACGACCUCUGACCUCACGACAAAAUCUUCUUACAUUCGCUUCAUUCGAAUGCAGUGAAGCACUAUACUGCUAAGCAUCCUGAGAUAAGGCAGUUAGUGCAUGAUUUCAUGGUUGAAGUAGCAAAGGUCAAAGGUGAUCAGGAACAAAGAUGUAAAAAUAGAUUUGAACUGCGGCCCACGGGCCAGUUACGGCUAACCGAAGUGUUUCAUCCGGCCCACUUGUGCCUAUAUCAAUUAUGACUAUGGUUUUCAUGGCUAUAAAUUUGCGUUGGAUAUUUCGAUGAAAAUAACGAAUCAUCGGCUAAAAUAUAGAUCACGUAUUAUUUGCACCUGAAUAUAAUUGUGCCACUUGGUACACUGGCUGUUUGUUGUACAUUAGCUGUUAUGCUUGUUAUUUGCAAAUGAAAUGUUUUGAGUCUCCAGUGACCAAAUCUAUUAUUUGUGACUGGCCCACUGAGAAAAAUAAUUGCCCGCCCCUGACUUAGAAUAUCAUUUCAUAUUGGUCAAAGUAACUUAAUUAAUCAUAGUCUAUUAUUAUGUGUACCAGGUUAGGGUCAGGCCAUAAUUUCAGGUACAAAUGCUAUGGGAUUCACUUGUCUAGUUCUCGAAUUCGUAAUAGAACUAAAAUAAGGAAAAUUGGAAUAAAAUUAUGGCCUAACCCUUUCCUGGUACACAUACUCCGGGAGUACCCUAUUUUCCUGUGAAGUUACAAAGGACAACUACUGUUAUUAACGUCCAGCAUUAUAACCGUUCAUGUUCAUUCACUCACUACACUGUGGGGUAUCUAUUGAUUUUAAAUCAAACUUAGCUUCCCCAUUGUUCUGGCACUGUACCAAUUUUAUUUAUAUCUCUCUAUCGCAAACAGACCCAACAUUUGAAACCAAUAUUUAUGUGCAUGCAAUUGCGUUUCUUGUUAUAGUUGUAAAAUGCUUGUCUGAAGAAGUCUGACCUCGG